UGAGUCUCGUAGAGGGGGGUAGAAUUCCAGGUGUAGCGGUGAAAUGCGUAGAGAUCUGGAGGAAUACCGGUGGCGAAGGCGGCCCCCUGGACGAAGACUGACGCUCAGGUGCGAAAGCGUGGGGAGCAAACAGGAUUAGAUACCCUGGUAGUCCACGCCGUAAACGAUGUCGACUUGGAGGUUGUGCCCUUGAGGCGUGGCUUCCGGAGCUAACGCGUUAAGUCGACCGCCUGGGGAGUACGGCCGCAAGGUUAAAACUCAAAUGAAUUGACGGGGGCCCGCACAAGCGGUGGAGCAUGUGGUUUAAUUCGAUGCAACGCGAAGAACCUUACCUGGUCUUGACAUCCACGGAAGUUUUCAGAGAUGAGAAUGUGCCUUCGGGAACCGUGAGACAGGUGCUGCAUGGCUGUCGUCAGCUCGUGUUGUGAAAUGUUGGGUUAAGUCCCGCAACGAGCGCAACCCUUAUCCUUUGUUGCCAGCGGUCCGGCCGGGAACUCAAAGGAGACUGCCAGUGAUAAACUGGAGGAAGGU
rnacentral:rRNA from 1 species